UGCAUAUCCAAAAAGCGGAGGAAAAGAAACCAACAGGGAUUGCCUCAGUAACGGCGAGUGAAGCGGCAAAAGCUCAAAUUUGAAAUCUAGCACCUUCGGUGUUUGAGUUGUAAUUUGAAGAUGGUAACCUUGGGUUUGGCUCUUGUCUAUGUUCCUUGGAACAGGACGUCAUAGAGGGUGAGAAUCCCGUCUGAUGAGAUGCCCAUUCCUAUGUAAGGUGCUAUCGAAGAGUCGAGUUGUUUGGGAAUGCAGCUCUAAGUGGGUGGUAAAUUCCAUCUAAAGCUAAAUAUUGGCGAGAGACCGAUAGCGAACAAGUACAGUGAUGGAAAGAUGAAAAGAACUUUGAAAAGAGAGUGAAAAAGUACGUGAAAUUGUUGAAAGGGAAGGGCAUUAGAUCAGACUUGGUGUUUUACGAUUAUCUUCUCUUCUUGAGUUGUGCACUCGUAUUUCACUGGGCCAGCAUCGAUUCGGAUGGCAAGAUAAUGGCAGUUGAAUGUGGCUUCACUUCGGUGGAGUGUUAUAGCUUCUGCUGAUAUUGCCUGUCUGGAUCGAGGGCUGCGUCUUUUGACUAGGAUGCUGGCGUAAUGAUCUAAUGCCGCCCGUCUUGAACAACGGACCA
rnacentral:rRNA from 1 species